rnacentral:snRNA from 1 species
AUACUUACCUGGUGUCGGAGUUGCGCUGAUUCCGGACGGGCGCGCUCCCAGGGCGAGGCACGUGCAUUGCACUCCGCUCGUGUUGACCCCUGCCACUUCCCCAAACUGGGGUAGAUGGGGCAUGCAAUUUUUGGUAGUGGGGGGACUGCGUGCGCGCUCUCCCCCC